rnacentral:rRNA from 1 species
UACGUAGGGUGCGAGCGUUAAUCGGAAUUACUGGGCGUAAAGCGUGCGCAGGCGGUUUUGGAAGCCAGGUGUGAAAUCCCCGGGCUCAACCUGGGAAUGGCAUUUGGGACUGCAAGGCUGGAGUGCGGCAGAGGAGACUGGAAUUCCUGGUGUAGCAGUGAAAUGCGUAGAUAUCAGGAGGAAUACCGAUGGCGAAGGCAGGUCUCUGGGCUGACACUGACGCUCAUGCACGAAAGCGUGGGGAGCAAACAGG